UACAGAGGGUGCAAGCGUUGUUCGGAAUUACUGGGCGUAAAGCGCGUGUAGGCGGUCUGAUAAGUCGGUCGUGAAAGCCCUUGGCUUAACCAAGGAACUGCGAUCGAAACUGCCGGACUAGAGCAUCGGAGGGGGUGGCGGAAUUCCCGGUGUAGAGGUGAAAUUCGUAGAUAUCGGGAGGAACACCUGUGGCGAAGGCGGCCACCUGGAAGAUUACUGACGCUGAGACGCGAAAGCGUGGGGAGCAAACAGG
rnacentral:rRNA from 1 species